ACAACAAUAGAGGAAAUGUGGAAGAAAAGGGAAAACUUCCAACUUGGAGUAGUUGAACAAAAACAUAUAAUGCAAAAAGUAAUUGAAGAUAACAUCCUAUUCCUCUAAAGAAGCCACUGGAGGAAAUGUGUCUUGUUUCGAACAAUACUUUAAGUUUUAAAUAUGAUUGUUUUACCAUGUUCCAAAUCAAUUGCCAUAUAGCUGUCUAAAAACCAGUCUAUCCCAGAAGUGAAUUUGAAGGAAUGGAAUGGAGGACUAUCUGUGUCAUGUAUUUUUUAAAUAUGAUAUGGAGAGUUAAUUCAUGUAUGUGCCCAAAACACAUGUGAAACUUAAACUUGCCUGGACUCUUUGUAUUAUUUUUUUAGCGUAAUGUCUGUAUAAACUAAAUUUUAAAUGAAUAAAUAUUCCAAGAAU